UGGAAGUUGUUCUACAUCGGUUUUGCUUAGGACCGAUGUAGAAAUGAGACCCUAAUAUUCACCCUGCGCGAAGGCACACUACCCUUUCAACGCCGUCUGCCUCCAACCACACCCAAACCCUUCCCACGCCGUCAGCCUCCAACCACACCCAAACCCUUCCGCUCGCAACCAUGCUAUUCCCUCACUACCUACUCGAUUCCCCCUCGAAGAUGACAAAAACGUCACCAUAGCCGUGGCCCAGGGCGUCGUUCCCGUGCUCGUGCGCCUUCUCGAUUCCCCCUCCAAAAUGAAGGAAAAAACCGUUGCCGCCAUUUCCAGAGUCUCCACCGUCGAAAUCGCCAAAAAUGUUCUCCUCGCGGAAGGCCUCCUCCUCCUCAACCACCUCCUCCGAUAGUUGAGGGUUUCGGUAGUGAAGGAAGGUGGUGUGGAGUGCUUGAAGAAUUAAUGGGACUCCGGUGUUCCUCUUGCGAGUCUGGAAGUUGCAGUGGAGAUGGUGCGGCAUUUGACAGAAGGGUUUGUGCAGAGGAUGGUGGGGGUGUUGAGUUCAAGGUGCUGGCAGUUAGGGUUUCAACGGCGAGGGCAGUUCAUGCGUUGGGGAUGAACAAUAACAAAGCGCGGAAGGAGAUGAGGGAAUUGGGAUGCAUUUCGGUUUUGAUCAAGAUGUUGGAUAGGAAGGGCGUGGAGGAGAAAGAAGGUUCCGCGAUGGCAUUGUCAGUGCUACUGAUGCACCCGGCGAAACGGAGGGUGUUUUGGAAGGACGAAAGAGGGGUUGUGAGCGCAGUUCAUCUCUUGAAAGAGGGCUUCUGAUUGUGCCUGUUCAAAUGGUUCUUAUUCUACUUUGUAUGUAGGCCAAAUUGGGUGAGAAAAACAAGUUCUAUUAUGAUGAGAAGCUGAAGACAUGGGUGGAAGAAGGUGCUGAAUCCAGUUGAAAAAGUUGCUUUGACUAUUGAUUUUGGAAACAGAUAGUAAGUUCAGCAACAACCACAAACCAUCCUACACCAUUAAAGAACAAGAAGACACGGAUGCAUCUCAAGAAAACAACAUUGCAGACUCCCCCUCCCUCUUCCACUGUGCUCAACAUCGAUGGCUUAGUCACCUCCCCCACUUCUUCAUCUAAGAGAAGGAGGGCAAUACAGAAAAGGGUAGUGCAAAUCCCAAUCAAGGAGACAGAAGGGUGUAGGCUAAAAGGAGAAAGCAACACCCCACCCUCGGAUUCAUGGGCAUGGAGAAAGUAUGGGCAGAAACCCAUCAAAGGUUCCCCUUAUCCCUUGUUAAUUGAAUUCCAUUCCAAUAACAUGCUAUUCAUGUUUGGGAUUUUUAAGGUUUGUUGCAAUUGUAAGACCUUGUUUUGUGAAGAUAAUAAUUGAGGAGAAGAAAGAUAAGUAGUGUGUGACUUUGGAGGAUCCUCGCACUGAAGAUCUUAGCCAAGAAGUCAGAGGAUUCAUAUUCUCUAAAAUUCUGAAUUGAAGAAUUCAUCGACUAUUUAUUCCCAGAGGAAACCCAGAAAAAAAAUCUCAAGAUCUUGGAAGCUGCUUACAAAUGGAAAAGGCAAAAAUUGUCUUCUGAUGAUGAUUAAGAAUAUCUUGUAGCUGCUAUACCUUUAGCAUGUGUAUAUAUCGGCAAGGUUUUAUUGUUGUAUAACCGGCAAAAAUAGUAUAGCUUCUACAGCCAAGUCAAUCACGGGCUUUUAUAGUUUGUGACAGACACAUUUGAGGAAUAUUUGUCAUGCAACCGAGAUGGCCAAAAUUUUUAUUGGGAGAAUGUUGGAAAACAUAUUUAAAACAAAAAUGAUAAUUGAAACUCUUAAAUUAACUAUUUUUUAUUGUUUUACAACAAUAACAAAAAAAAAAUAAUGAAGUUAUUUGUUUUAAAAUGUACAGUAAGCCAUAGUGCUUAUCUGAUUUUGUUAGGGUAGUGAUUCUUCUGUCAUGCUGUCGAGUGAGAUGGAUCAAGCAUGGAAUGGGAUCCCAUACUUCUAGCAUGCUGUCAGGGUAGUGAUUCUUUUAAGCUUACAAUUGCCCAACCAGCAUUGGACAUGCCUGAACUAUUGUGGAAGGAAUACAUUGACUUUGAGACUGCUGAGGGAGAAUUUGAGAGAGCAAGAGCACUUUAUGAAAGGCUUCUUGAUCGAACAAAGCACUUGAAGGUAUGGAUAAGCUAUGCAGAAUUUGAGGCAACGGCUAUGGAUAUGGACAGUGCAGACUUAGAAGAACAUGAACAAAAGAAGCAAUGUAUUCAGCAUGCUAGAAGUAUGGGAUCCUAGUGCCACACACAAGCUGUUAAUUUUAAUUGUUUGUUCUCAGUUUGAACAUUAGUCAGCCAUUUUUUUUUUCUGUUGCUUUUGAAAUAUUUCUUCUGGAUUCAA